rnacentral:misc_RNA from 1 species
AACGUCUGGCUGGCGCGGUGGCGCAGUUUCGCCACUUUGCCUUGUGGCUCGUCCUGUAACCAGCGGGUUCUGGCGGCAAGGUUAUAUUUUGUCCAUGCCGCGUGGGUGUUUUGUGUGUCGCCUUUUUGCAGCGCGACAAUCUCCACCUCAAA